rnacentral:rRNA from 1 species
GACAGAGGUCCCGAGCGUUAGGCGGAAUCACUGGGCUUAAAGCGUGUGUAGGCGGAUCGUUAAGUGCCUUGUGAAAUCCCAUGGCUUAACCAUGGAACUGCUUGGCAUACUGGCGGUCUUGAGCCACUUAGGGGCAACCGGAACAAAUGGUGGAGCGGUGAAAUGCGUAGAUAUCAUGUGGAACGCCAAUGGUGAAAACAGGUUGCUGGGAGUGUGCUGACGCUGAGACACGAAAGCCAGGGGAGCGAACGGG